UACGUAGGGGGCUAGCGUUGUCCGGAUUUAUUGGGCGUAAAGAGCGUGUAGGCGGCCAGACAGGUCCGUUGUGAAAACUCGAGGCUCAACCUCGAGACGCCGAUGGAAACCGUUUGGCUAGAGUCCGGAAGAGGAGAGUGGAAUUCCUGGUGUAGCGGUGAAAUGCGCAGAUAUCAGGAAGAACACCCGUGGCUAAGGCGGCUCUCUAGUACGGUACUGACGCUGAGACGCGAAAGCGUGGGGAGCGAACAGG
rnacentral:rRNA from 1 species